rnacentral:rRNA from 1 species
UACGUAGGGUGCAAGCGUUAAUCGGAAUUACUGGGCGUAAAGCGUGCGCAGGCGGCUUUGCAAGACAGAUGUGAAAUCCCCGGGCUCAACCUGGGAACUGCAUUUGUGACUGCAUGGCUAGAGUACGGUAGAGGGGGAUGGAAUUCCGCGUGUAGCAGUGAAAUGCGUAGAGAUGUGGAGGAACACCGAUGGCGAAGGCAGCCCCCUGGGUCAAGAUUGACGCUCAUGCACGAAAGCGUGGGGAGCAAACAGG